rnacentral:rRNA from 1 species
UGGCGGCGUGCCUAACACAUGCAAGUCGAGCGAGGAGAUCCUCGGGAUGAUCCUAGCGGCGGACGGGUGAGUAACACGUGGGCAACCUGCCUCAUAGAGAGGAAUAGCCUUCCGAAAGGGAGAUUAAUACCUCAUAACAUUGCAGUUUCGCAUGAAACAGCAAUUAAAGGAGCAAUCCGCUAUGAGAUGGGCCCGCGGCGCAGUUAGCUAGUUGGUGAGGUAACGGCUCACCAAGGCGACGAUGCGUAGCCGACCUGAGAGGGUGAUCGGCCACAUUGGGACUGAGACACGGCCCAGACUCCUACGGGGAGGCAGCAGUGGGGAAUAUUGCACAAUGGGGGAAACCCUGAUGCAAGCAACGCCGUGUGAGUGAUGACGGCCUUCGGGUUGUAAAGCUCUGUCUUCAGGGACGAUAAUGACGGUACCUGAGGAGGAAGCCACGGCUAACUACGUGCCAGCCGCAGC